rnacentral:rRNA from 1 species
CAGUAGCCGCGGUAAUACGAAGGGGGCUAGCGUUGCUCGGAAUGACUGGGCGUAAAGGGCGCGUAGGCGGAUUGUUUAGUUAGGCGUGAAAUUCCUGGGCUUAACCUGGGGACUGCGCUUAAUACAGGCAGUCUAGAGUGAGGAAGAGGGUCGUGGAAUUCCCAGUGUAGAGGUGAAAUUCGUAGAUAUUGGGAAGAACACCGGUGGCGAAGGCGGCGACCUGGUCCUUGACUGACGCUGAGGCGCGAAAGCGUGGGGAGCAAACAGGAUUAGAUACCCCAGUAGUCCCUGUCUCUUAUAC